ensembl:lncRNA
UAUAGAUGUUAGUGUACUGCAAGGGGGGUGUUCGAAGAACACAAGAAGGGACUGGAAUUAUAAGUAAUGUAAAUAAUAACAAUACAUACCAAAAUGGUGUAACCACAACAACAACAACAACAAAAAAAAAAACAAAAAGUGACUACAAAAACUACGAAUUAUUAAAAAAAGAUACAAAAGAUAUGUCAAAAAUAACAAAUUCAAAUAAUAUCAAAAAUGAGAAUACAGAAAAAAUAUUUGACGAGCAAACUGCUUUUUAUGAAAUACCUUUAACUGUGGAAAAUAUAUUUUCAAAGGGAAAAUAUGACAAAAUAAUUAAAUAUGUAUAUACACUCUCAAAAAGUGCAGAUCAGAUAUUAUUAGAAUAUAAUAAUGAUUCAGAUAAAAAAAAAGGAGGAAUAAAAAAAAAAAAAAAAAAAAAAAAUAUAUCAUCGUCUUAUGAUAUUGUUAUUGUGUACGAAGGUCUGGAUGAACAUAUGGCUCAAAGAUGCAAUUUAUUAAAUACAACAUUUUUAGAUAAAAAGAAUUAUGAACCAGUGGAAGAAGAAAGAAAUAGUGAAUGUUUGUUGUUUGAUAGUAAAAAGGAACAAAAAGAGGAAAUGAAUGUGGAUGUGGAUGUGGGCGUGGAUGUGGAUGUGGAUGUGGAUGUGGAUGUGGGCGUGGAUGUGGAUGUGGGCAUGGAUGUGGAUGGGGAUGUGGAUGUGGAUGUGAAUACAUUGUUGGAGUGUAUCUCGGAUCAUUCAGAUAUUAUAUGUAUUCCUAACCAUGAGAAAGAAGAUGGUGAAAAAGAUUAUGCAAUUAAAGAUUCGUUUACAGAUGUUGCCAAGACAAAUGUUAAGACAAGUAUAGCUAUAGAUACCUGUACAAGUGAUGGUGUAAACAAAAUCCCGAUGAAACAAUACAAUGAGCCAAGAUGCGAGAGUACAACUGUUGAUAAGACCAGCAACAAUAUUAAAAAUAAAUCAUCAUUCGAAUUGUCAAGUUGUUCAUACGAUUACUCGUCAAGUAACUCAAGUAGCGACUUUAGUAUGAUGGAACACUCAUCGUGCGACUACAAUGAUAACAGUUAUAAAUAUGAUUCCAUUUAUGCUACUAAUAGUUAUGGAAAUAAUAAUAACAAUAAUAAGAGUAGUAAUUUCAAGUGCUCUAAAUGUGAACAUUCAGCUGAUCUGUUUGUAUACGACAGUACUAUUAUUAACUUUCAGUCUGUAUACAAUUUUUUAAAACAUGAACAUUAUAUUUUAUAUGCAAAUGAUUAUGAUGUUAUUAUAAAAAAUAAUAAAAAAAAGGAACAGGAAACAAACUAUUAUUUAAAAAAAAGAGUACUGGAGAAAAAUUGCAAAGGGAGAAUUGAUGGACUUGUAAAUGGUAUAGAACAGUAUGACACUAGUAACUGUAGUAGCAUUGAAAAAAAUAAAAAUAGAAAGAGAACAGGAAUGAAAAAAAAUACAGAACUUGUUACUCUACAUAUUAAAGAUUUUAAAAAAAAAGAAUGUAGUAGUUGUUAUUUGAGUUAUAGUAAUGGUAAUAGUAAUGGUAAUAGUAAUGGUAAUAGUAAUAAUUAUUUUACUUCAAACUGUAACAAUAACGAAUUUCAUGAUGGUUGCACAACUUGGCUCUCUAUUUUUAAACCACAAAUAAAUUAUUUAAGCAAAAAAAACAUAUUUGAUAAAACAUAUCAUGAAACAAAAAUGUAUCAGAAUAAAAAAGAUAAAGAAAUACUUUGUAACAUAAAUAAGCAUAAUCUAUUGUGUAAAUAUAAACUAGAAUACAUGGGUUGGAGUUGUGAUUUUGCUAUAAAAAAAAAUAUUCCCAAAUUUGAUCCUUUGGUUGAAUUAUUUCAUAAAUAUGCAUCUACUUUUGUUUAUACUCAACCGGCUUAUAAUUAUGCUUCAUUUUUUCCAUUUUUUGGAAAAUUUAUAUUAAGGCAUUAUUUUAGUCAAUUUUGUGAAAAGUAUUCAUUAUUUCAGUUAUUUAUAUUAUCUUUUUUUUACUACCACCAAUACGACUAUUAACAUUGUUAUAACUUUCGUAUGUAUAAUUAGUUUUAUUCGGAAGAUGCAAAAAAGAUAAUAUAAAUAACUGAAAU